CGCCGUGAACAUGGAGCCCCCGGACGCACCGGCCCAGGCGCGCGGGGCCCCGCGGCUGCUGUUGCUCGCAGUCCUGCUGGCGGCGCACCCAGAUGCCCAGGCGGAGGUGCGCUUGUCUGUGCCCCCGCUGGUGGAGGUGAUGCGAGGAAAUUCUGUCAUUCUGGACUGCACCCCUACGGGAACCCACGACCAUUAUAUGCUGGAAUGGUUCCUUGUGAGUGCUUGGGGCUGGGGGGCCUGGAGUCAGGGCACAGCAGGGCAGCAAAGGUUCAUUCUCUCAUCAGUGCCUAAGGCCUGUAGAGAUCCACCAAGCCACACUCCUUGUUACAGAUGGGGUCACUGAGUCCCACUGAGGGGAAGGGAUCUGCAAGGUGCCCCGUGUCUAGGCACAGCCAAGUCUAGAAUGACAUUGACCUGCUCUGGACUGCGGGCUCUUGAGAGAGAGAACAGAGACAGACAUCAAGAAAGCAGAAGCCAGGCACGGUGGCUCACGCCUGUAAUCCCAGCACUUUGGGAGGCCGAGGCGGGUGGAUCACGAGGUCAAGAGAUCAAGACUGUCCUGACCAACAUGGUGAAACCCCGUCUCUACUAAAAAUACAAAAAUUAGCUGGGCGUGAUGGCAUGUGCCUGUAAUCCCAGCUACUCAGGAGGCUGAGGCAGGAGAAUCGCUUGAACCUGGGAGGUAGAGGUUGCAGUGAGCCGAGAUCGAGCCAAUGCUCUCCAGCCAGGCGACAGAGCAAGACUCUAUCUCAAAAAAAAAGAGGAAAGAAAAUGAGAGACAAUCGGGAGAGGGAGAGACCGAGAGGAGAAGGGAUGGGACCGGAAUGAGAUGGAGAAAAGGAGACAGGAAAAAUCAAGAACUGAUAGGGAAUGGGGGCAGGAGAAGGUGGGGAGGGACAGAGGGACCAGGGAGA
rnacentral:sRNA from 1 species